rnacentral:rRNA from 1 species
AGAGUUUGAUCAUGGCUCAGAUUGAACGUUGGCGGCAGGCCUAAUACAUGCAAGUCGAGCGGUAACAGAUCUAGCUUGCUAGAUGCUGACGAGCGGCGGACGGGUGAGUAACGCGUAGGAAUCUAUCCAGUAGCGGGGGAUAGCCCAGGGAAACUUGGAUUAAUACCGCAGCCGGGAUCUAUUUAUAGACCGGUCACUAUUGGAGGAGCCUGCGUUAGAUUAGCUAGUUGGUAGGGUAAAGGCCUACCAAGGCGACGAUCUAUAGCUGUUCUGAGAGGAAGAUCAGCCACACUGGAACUGAGACACGGUCCAGACUCCUACGGGAGGCAGCAGUAGGGAAUAUUGUGCAAUGGGGGAAACCCUGACACAGCCAUGCCGCGUGUGUGAAGAAGGCCCUAGGGUUGUAAAGCACUUUCAGUAGGGAGGAUAAGGUUGGAUUAAUUCGGACGUUAGCUGCAGAAGAAGUACCGGCUAACUCCGUGCCAGCAGCCGCGGUAAUACAGAGGGUGCGAGCGUUAAUCGGAAUUACUGGGCGUAAAGGGUUCGUAGGCGGGUAGAUAAGUUGGACGUGAAAGCCCUGGGCUCAACCUAGGAACUGCAUUCAAAACUGUCUAGCUAGAGUAUUGUAGAGGAAAGUGGAAUUUCCGGUGUAGCGGUGAAAUGCGUAGAUAUCGGAAGGAAUAUCAGUGGCGAAGGCGACUUUCUGGACAAAUACUGACGCUGAGGAACGAAAGCCGUGGGUAGCGAACAGGAUUAGAUACCCUGGUAGUCCACCCCGUAAACGAUCUCAACUAGCUGUUGGAGGACUUGAUCCUUUAGUGGCGCAGCUAACGCGUUAAGUUGACCGCCUGGGGAGUACGGCCGCAAGGUUAAAACUCAAAUGAAUUGACGGGGGCCCGCACAAGCGGUGGAGCAUGUGGUUUAAUUCGACGCAACGCGAAGAACCUUACCUACUCUUGACAUCCUCAGAACUUUCCAGAGAUGGAUUGGUGCCUUCGGGAACUGAGUGACAGGUGCUGCAUGGCUGUCGUCAGCUCGUGUCGUGAGAUGUUGGGUUAAGUCCCGUAACGAGCGCAACCCUUGUCCUUAUUUGCCAGCACGUAAUGGUGGGAACUUUAAGGAGACUGCCGGUGACAGCGCGGAGGAAGGUGGGGACGACGUCAAGUCAUCAUGGCCAUGAUGACUUGGGCUACACACGUGCUACAAUGGCCGGUACAGAGGGUUGCAAAGCCGCGAGGUGGAGCAAAUCCCAGAAAGCCGGUCGUAGUCCGGAUUGGAGUCUGCAACUCGACUCCAUGAAGUCGGAAUCGCUAGUAAUCGCGAAUCAGAAUGUCGCGGUGAAUACGUUCCCGGGCCUUGUACACACCGCCCGUCACACCAUGGGAGUGGGUUGCACCAGAAGUGGUUAGUCUAACCUUCGGGAGGACGAUCACCACGGUGUGAUUCAUGACUGGGGUGAAGUCGGAACAAGGUAGCC